rnacentral:tRNA from 1 species
GGGGUCAUAGCUUAGCUGGCUUAAAGCGCCUGCCUGUCACGCAGGAGAUCGAGGGUUCGAAUCCCUUUGGCCCCGCCA